ensembl:lncRNA
GCCCUUUGGUGAUGGUGGAAAAUAUAUAUUGUUUUUAUUUAUUCACAGAUGAGCUAUGUACAGGUGCAGUGAUCUGUGAGCUGCUCUGACAGCUGGUGCUUAUAGCUAGUGAGGGAGACAUGAGUCUCCAGCUUCAGCGAUUUUUGCAGUUCGUUCCAGUCAUUGGCAGCAGAGAACGGGAAGGAAAGGCGGCCGAAGGAGAGGGCCAGCCAACGAGAGCAUACAGGUCACUGUGGUGGGUGGUAUAAGGGGCCUUGGUAACAAAACGGAUGGCACUGUGAAAGACUGCUUCCAGUUUGCUGAGUAGAGUAUUGGAAGCUAUUUUGUAGAUGACAUCGCCGAAGUCAAGGAUCGCUAGGAUAGUCAGUUUUACUAGGAGGACCUGAGCCCUAGGAUUAUGCCUCAGGACUACCUGGCCUGAUGACUCCUGUCUGUCCCCAGUCCGCUUGGUCUUGCUGCUGCUCCAGUUCAGUUUCAACCUUUCAGCCUGUGGCUAGGAAACCCUGACCUGUUCACCGGACGUGCUACCUUGUCUUGGACAUGCUGUUCAUUUUCUCUCUCUCUCUCUCUCUCUCUCUCUCAUAUAUAUAUACUGUAUAUACUGCUGUCUCAACCUCCGAAUGCUAUGAAAAACUCUUGAGCUGUUGACCUGUUGUACCCUCUACAACCACUGAUUAUUAUUUGACCCUGCUGGUCAUCUAUGAAUGUUUGCUGUGUUUCUGUAUAACACUUUGUGACAUCUGCUGAUGUAAAAAAAAAAAAGGACUUUAUAAAUACAUAUGAUUGAUUGAUUGAUUUGAUCUCUCUUUACUUAGCUCCGUUCAUCUUUACCUCGAUCCUGACUAUUCUCCCAGUACCUGCCUCUGAAAAAUAUCCCGCAGCAUGAUGCUGCCACCACCAUGCUUCACUGUAGGAAUGGUGCCCUGUUUCCUCCAGAAGGGACUCUUUCCUGUACUCCCUGUUCACCCACGACUGCGUGGCCAUGCACGCCUCCAACUCAAUCAUCAAGUUUGCGGACGACACAACAAUGGUAGGCUUGAUUACCAACAACGACGAGACGGCCUACAGGGAGGAGGUGAGGGCCCUCGGAGUGUGGUGUCAGGAAAAUAACCUCACACUCAACGUCAAC